UACGAGAGGUGCAAGCGUUAUUCGGAAUUAUUGGGCGUAAAGGGUGCGUAGGCGGUCUCUUAAGUCAUCUGUUAAAUCUUCCGGCUCAACUGGAAGCUCGCGGGUGAAACUAUGAGGCUAGAGUAUGAAAGAGAGAAGUGGAAUUCUCGGAGUAGCGGUAAAAUGCGUAGAUCUCGAGAGGAACACCAAUGGCGAAGGCAGCUUCUUGGUUCAUUACUGACGCUCAGGCACGAAAGCGUGGGGAGCAAACAGG
rnacentral:rRNA from 1 species